AAGCGGUGGAGUAUGUGGUUAAUUCGACGCAACGCGCAGAACCUUACCUAGACUUGACAUCCCGGGGAUUUUCUGGAAACAGAGAAGUGCUUUAGCAAUAAAGAACCCGGUGACAGGUGCUGCAUGGCUGUCGUCAGCUCGUGUCGUGAGAUGUUGGGUUAAGUCCCGCAACGAGCGCAACCCUCGCCCUUUAGUUGCCAGCAUUCAGUUGGGCACUCUAAAGGGACUGCCGGUGUCAAACCGGAGGAAGGUGGGAUGACGUCAAGUCCUCAUGGCCUUUAUGUCUAGGGCUACACACGUACUACAAUGGCAGGUACAAAGGGCAGCGACACAGCGAUGUGAUGCGAAUCCCGAAAAGCCUGUCUCAGUCCGGAUCGGAGUCUGCAACUCGACUCCGUGAAGUUGGAAUCGCUAGUAAUCGUGGAUCAGCAUGGCGCGGUCGAAUACGUUCCCGGGCCUU
rnacentral:rRNA from 1 species